AGAGUGGCGCACGGGUGAGUAACGGCGUAUGCAACCUGCCUAUAACAGAGGGAUAGCCCAUAGAAAUGUGGAUUAAUACCUCAUAGUCCUUAAACUCCGCAUGGAUUUUAAGGUAAAACUCCGGUGGUUAUAGAUGGGCAUGCGUGACAUUAGCUAGUUGGUGAGGUAACGGCUCACCAAGGCGACGAUGUCUAGGGGUUCUGAGAGGAUGAUCCCCCACACUGGUACUGAGACACGGACCAGACUCCUACGGGAGGCAGCAGUGAGGAAUAUUGGUCAAUGGGCGCAAGCCUGAACCAGCCAUCCCCGCGUGAAGGAUGAAGGUCCUAUGGAUUGUAAACUUCUUUUAUACACCAAGAAAAAGCAGGACGUGUCCUGCCCCGACGGUAGUG
rnacentral:rRNA from 1 species